rfam:Salmo salar isolate Sally breed double haploid chromosome ssa05, whole genome shotgun sequence.
CCAAAGGCUCUUUUAAAAGCCACCUAAUAAAUGCAAGUAAGCACUGU